rnacentral:rRNA from 1 species
GGACAAGCGAAUAAGUGCACAUGGUGGAUGCCUUGGCGAUUACAGGCGAUGAAGGACGUAGUAGCUUGCGAUAAGCUGCGGGGAGUGAGCAAACACACUUUGAUCCGCAGAUUUCCGAAUGGGGCAACCCACCCUUUUAGGGUAUUGCAUACUGAAUACAUAGGUAUGCAAGGCGAACGCGGCGAACUGAAACAUCUAAGUAGCUGCAGGAAAAGAAAUCAACCGAGAUUCCCAAAGUAGCGGCGAGCGAAAUGGGAAGAGCCUGUACGUGAUAGUCGGACCGAUAACAGAAUCCUCUGGAAAUAGGAGCCAUAGCGGGUGAUAGCCCCGUAUGUGAAAUCGGACCGGUGGUACUAAGCGUACGACAAGUAGGGCGGGACACGUGACAUCCUGUCUGAAUAUGGGGGGACCAUCCUCCAAGGCUAAAUACUCGUAAUCG